rnacentral:rRNA from 1 species
UCCGUAGGUGAACCUGCGGAGGGAUCAUUACCGAGUUUACAACUCCCAAACCCAAUGUGAACGUUACCAAACUGUUGCCUCGGCGGGAUCUCUGCCCCGGGUGCGUCGCAGCCCCGGACCAAGGCGCCCGCCGGAGGACCAACCAAAACUCUUAUUGUAUACCCCCUCGCGGGUUUUUUUAUAAUCUGAGCCUUCUCGGCGCCUCUCGUAGGCGUUUCGAAAAUGAAUCAAAACUUUCAACAACGGAUCUCUUGGUUCUGGCAUCGAUGAAGAACGCAGCGAAAUGCGAUAAGUAAUGUGAAUUGCAGAAUUCAGUGAAUCAUCGAAUCUUUGAACGCACAUUGCGCCCGCCAGUAUUCUGGCGGGCAUGCCUGUCCGAGCGUCAUUUCAACCCUCGAACCCCUCCGGGGGGUCGGCGUUGGGGAUCGGCCCUCCCUUAGCGGGUGGCCGUCUCCGAAAUACAGUGGCGGUCUCGCCGCAGCCUCUCCUGCGCAGUAGUUUGCACACUCGCAUCGGGAGCGCGGCGCGUCCACAGCCGUUAAACACCCAACUUCUGAAAUGUUGACCUCGGAUCAGGUAGGAAUACCCGCUGAACUUAAGCAUAUCUAAGGGGGGGGGAAGA